rnacentral:tRNA from 1 species
GCCUGGCUGGCUCUGUUGGUAGAGCAUGUGACUCAUAAUCUCAGGGUUAUGAGUUCAAGCCCCACCUUGGGCA